GGCAAGAUUAAAACAUGGGUUCAAAAUUACAGUUCUAGAGCGGAAUAUAUUGUUUUCUCAGCUGUUUUUUAUUCAGUUCUGUUUAAAUCUGCCUGGGACAAGAGUCUGAAUUACACUGGAUUUGAGGGUGUUAUGAUUAUAGUCCUCUUUGUGAUGGUGAUUCUGUUCAACCUCUUCUAUAUUAUUUACUUGUUGAUGAGAUUGAUUGGUAAAUUAAGUCAACGGAUCAUGACUAUAUUCGGUCUUCUGGCUGGAAUAAGCUUCAAUGUUCUGCCUUCACUUCAGUUCAUCCUCCUGUUCUUCACCUUUGGAUCUGGUAG